UACGAAGGGGGGCUAGCGUUGCUCGGAAUCACUGGGCGUAAAGGGCGCGCAGGCGGCUGCUCAAGUCAGGCGUGAAAGGCCUGGGCUCAACCCGGGAAUUGCGCUUGAGACUGGGGCUGGCUUGAGUGCGGGAGAGGAUGGUGGAAUUCCCAGUGUAGAGGUGAAAUUCGUAGAUAUCGAGAGGAACACCUGCGGCGAAGGCGGGUUGCUGGGCUGACACUGACGCUGAGGCGCGAAAGCUAGGGGAGCGAACGGG
rnacentral:rRNA from 1 species